UCCACGAGUCCUCUUCGAGGUGGGAGAGGUUGGAGGAGGCAGAGGAGCUGGACACAAGGGAGGAGGCACUGUUUCGCCUGGAGCCGUUCAUGGAGCGCAGCGACUUGCUGUCCGUCUCUAGCAGCCUGUAGUGAAGGAAUUCCAGAGAAUCGGCCUGUCUGAUUUACAGAUUGUAGCAGUCAGCGUGGGACUUCCUUGUCCGUGUGACGCUAUUGAACGAAUGCUCGUGCCUUUUAUCUGCUCUGUAGGGUACAAAGGCCUCACCAAACACACAAACACUAGGAGGGGGAUGGUGGGGAUGUGCAGAAUGAUUCUACAGCAGUCCGAGUGGUGCAGAUGUGGGCGUCCUGGUGGCCCAGUGAUUAUGACACAUAUGAGAUAAAAGCAGCAUCCCAGGUUUAAUUCCAACCGAGGACCACGUUUGCAUGACAUUCCCCUCUCCCCACAUUUCCUGUCUGCAUCUUCACUGUGAUCCAUCUAUUAUUAAAAAAAAGGUAUAACAAAUAUAUAUAUUUAAAAUUAGAGAAAACAUAGUUUUGCCAAUUAUGAAUACACUGUAGUGCAAAUCUUAACUUAAGAACAUUUUACAUGAUGUAUCAUAAACGCUACUGUUAUUACAUUACACGUUGUACCUCAGGUUGGUAUUGCCUGUGCCAGGUCUAUUCUGAAAUGGAGAUAAACAGGAAGCUGGUACACCAAACUUGUACUGUUUUCUUAACAACACCCUGUUCCUGAGCUUUCACUGUUGGGGGCAUAUUUACUGACCUUCAUCAACAAUAUGACUAUAAAGCUAAACUAACAGAUCCACAUCCUGUAGAUCCUACAGGAUGGCUGAGUUAAAUCAGCCUGGAUGGAUGAUACCAUGACACCUAACCUAAGCUAUAGAAGGCAGCACUCACCCUGUAGAAAAAAAAUGAAAAGCUACGCAGAGUAAGUGCACUAGUGUACAUGUAGAUUUAUUUAAAAAUUAAUUUACCAAAAUUCAAUGAAUCUCUUAAUAAAUUAUUUUCUUGUUCAAUAUAUCAAGAAUUCAAAUGAGCGUUUGGCUGGGCAGAAUCACAGUAUCAGCUGUUAUAGAUCCCUGUAAUAGUAUUGUGGGAUUUUAUUGUAUAUUUUUGCAAUACAAAGAAAUAAGUGGGCCAAAUUUCUCCCUUCAUUACUUCUGAAAAUGUUCAGUUCCAGUUUGACUUGCCAAUACCAUGUGGAUCACUGUCUUGCAUAGGGAUGCAACUUACAAUUAUUUUCAUUGUCGAUUAAUCUGUUGAUUAUUUUCUUGAUUAAUCGAUUGGUUGUUUAUAAAAAUGUCAUAAAAUGAUGAAAGAUAUCGAUCAGUGUUUCCCAACGCCAGAGAUGAUGUCCUCAAAUGUCUUGUUUUGUUCACAACACAAAGAUAUUCAGUUUACUGUCAUAGAGGAGUAAAGAAACCAGAAAAUAUUCACAUUUAAGAAACUAGAAUCAGAGAAUUCAGAGAAAUCAGAGAAUGAACCGAUUCAUUGAUUGUCAAAAUAGUUGGCGAUUAAUUUAAUAGUUGACGGCUAAUUGAUUAAUUGUUGCAGCUCUAGACAGUGACACUACUAUAAAUUCGACAAUUAAUAGAGUGAUUUAUCCAUAUGAAAAAUGACAUCUGUCUAUAUCACUGUGAUAGUUAUACAGGAAAAUACCAUACAACCCUGUUCUCU